rnacentral:misc_RNA from 1 species
AUUUUCUGUUAGUACCAAAAAAUUCAUUGACCCUGUUGAGCUUUCUCGGCGACAAAAUUCACAUUCAGAUAACUAAUAUUCGUAAUUCAUCUCCCAGUUCAGAAAAAUCAUAAUAAUCCCUUCAUCAUCUCAACAAAUUCUGAAAGCAGCCAUGCAUUACAAUUUUUCUAGAUGGUAAAAUAUUCCAAAAAGACUCAAAUAGCAGUGUUGCACUCUUCUUUUCACACAACUUUCAUAGGAAGUGUUCCAAAAGGAGAACAGAUGAAGUCCCCAAAAGUUCGAUCAGAUUUUUGCCUCAAAUAUGUUGGCCCUGGCCAUAAUACAAACGUGUAUGUUUUUGUCUG